rnacentral:rRNA from 1 species
UACGUAGGGGGCGAGCGUUGUCCGGAUUCAUUGGGCGUAAAGGGCGCGCAGGCGGCCCGGAAAGUCGGAUGUGAAAACUCGGGGCUCAACCCCGAGCGUGCACCCGAUACUGCCGGGCUUGAGGCAGGUAGGGGAGAUCGGAAUUCCUGGUGUAGCGGUGAAAUGCGCAGAUAUCAGGAGGAACACCGGUGGCGAAGGCGGAUCUCUGGGCCUGUCCUGACGCUGAGGCGCGAAAGCUAGGGGAGCGAACAGG